AGCUCCAAUAGCGUAUAUUAAAGUUGCUGCAGUUAAAAAGCUCGUAGUUGGAUUUGUGGGAUGGCCGUCCGGCGGGGGGCCAUUUAUUGGUCCCGUUUGUCCUGGUUUUCGGCCUUCCCUUUCUCGGGUCUAGCGUAUUGGCUGGCAUUAGGUUGUCGGCCGCUUCGCGCCCGUCGUUUACUGUGAAAAAAUUAGAGUGUUUCAGGCAGGCUUGCGCCGGAAUACAUUAGCAUGGAAUAAUAGAAUAGGACUCCGGUUCCUUUUGUUGGUUUGAGGGCCGAAGUAAUGAUUAAUAGGGAUAGUUGGGGGCAUUAGUAUUUAAUUGUCAGAGGUGGAAUUCUUUGAUUUGUUAAAGACUAACCUAUGCGAAAGCAUUUGCCAAGGAUGUUUUCAUUAAUCA
rnacentral:rRNA from 1 species